rnacentral:rRNA from 1 species
ACGGGUGAGGAAUACCUCGGAAUCUACCUUUUCGUGGGGGAUAACGUAGGGAAACUUACGCUAAUACCGCAUAAGAGCUUGGGGUGAAAGCCUGGGACCUUCGGGCCUGGCGCGGAUAGAUGAGCCGAUGUCGGAUUAGCUUGUUGGCGGGGUAAAAGCCCACCAAGGCGACGAUCCGUAGCUGGUCUGAGAGGAUGAUCAGCCACACUGGAACUGAGACACGGUCCAGACUCCUACGGGAGGCAGCAGUGGGGAAUAUUGGACAAUGGGCGCAAGCCUGAUCCAGCCAUACCGCGUGGGUGAAGAAGGCCUUCGGGUUGUAAAGCCCUUUUGUUGGGAAAGAAAUCCUGCCGGUUAAUAACCAGUAGGGAUGACGGUACCCAAAGAAUAAGCACCGGCUAACUUCGUGCCAGCAGCCGCGGUAAUACGAAGGGUGCAAGCGUUACUCGGAAUUACUGGGCGUAAAGCGUGCGUAGGUGGUUGUUUAAGUCUGCUGUGAAAGCCCUGGGCUCAACCUGGGAAUUGCAGUGGAUACUGGGCGACUAGAGUGUGGUAGAGGAUAGUGGAAUUUCCGGUGU